rnacentral:rRNA from 1 species
AGAGUUUGAUCCUGGCUCAGAAUGAACGUUGGCGGCGUGGAUUAGGCAUGCAAGUCGAACGAGAAUCCCCGCAAGGGGAGGAAAGUGGCGAAAGGGAGAGUAAUACGUAGGUACCUGCCCUCGGGUCUGGGAUAGCUGCGGGAAACUGCAAUUAAUACCGGAUGACGUCUCUGGACCAAAGGUGUGAUUCCGCCAGAGGAUGGGCCUGCGUCCUAUCAGCUAGUUGGUGUGGUAAUGGCGCACCAAGGCAAAGACGGGUACGGGGUGUGAGAGCAUGCCCCCGCUCACUGGGACUGAGACACUGCCCAGACACCUACGGGUGGCUGCAGUCGAGAAUCUUCCGCAAUGGGCGCAAGCCUGACGGAGCGACGCCGCGUGUGGGAUGAAGGCCUUCGGGUUGUAAACCACUGUCAGUGGGGAGCAAAUGCAUCAGGGUUCUCCCUGGUGUUUGAGCGAUCCGCAGAGGAAGCACAGGCUAAUUCCGUGCCAGCAGCCGCGGUAAUACGGAAUGUGCAAACGUUAUUCGGAAUCACUGGGCUUAAAGAGUCCGUAGGCGGCUUGUUAGGUGAGGUGUGAAAUCCCCCGGCCCAACCGAGGAAUUGCGCUUCAAACCGGCAAGCUAGAGGAGGAUAGAGGUGGGCGGAACUGAUGGUGGAGCGGUGAAAUGCGUUGAUAUCAUCAGGAACACCGGAGGCGAAGGCGGUCCACUGGGUCCUAUCUGACGCUGAGGGACGAAAGCUAGGGGAGCGAACGGGAUUAGAUACCCCGGUAGUCCUAGCCUUAAACGAUGAGCACUAGACCGAAGAAUCUCCACGAUUUUUUGGUCGUAGCGAA